AAAACGGGCGAUGUGCAUGGUUCCGCAUGUCGCGCCCAAGGCGCGCCGGGAUUAAUAGGGAAUGCGGACAGGGCCGACCCAAACCGGGGGCCCGAAGCCGCAGCCGCCCCCGCGACUGUAGGCGGAGCGCGCCGUCCACACGCCACUGGCCCCGGGCCGGGAAGGCGGACGGCGCAGGGGACGAUCCCCGCUCCGCAAGCCAGGAGACCUGCCAUGCAUCGUGCAACCCA
rnacentral:ncRNA from 1 species